UGAUAGUAGAAAUGUUCCUAAGCAGC
rnacentral:piRNA from 1 species